rfam:Schistosoma haematobium scaffold916_22, whole genome shotgun sequence.
AUCCGGCUGACGAGUCCCAAACAAGACGAAAUGCGGAUCCUCCAU